UACGGAGGGUGCGAGCGUUGUCCGGAAUCACUGGGCGUAAAGCGCGUGUAGGCGGCCCGGUAAGUCCGCUGUGAAAGUCGGGGGCUCAACCCUCGAAUGCCGGUGGAUACUGUCGGGCUAGAGUGCGGAAGAGGCGAGUGGAAUUCCUGGUGUAGCGGUGAAAUGCGCAGAUAUCAGGAGGAACACCAAUUGCGAAGGCAGCUCGCUGGGACGUGACUGACGCUGAGACGCGAAAGCGUGGGGAGCAAACAGG
rnacentral:rRNA from 1 species